rnacentral:rRNA from 1 species
AUGACAUUUGAAGGGCUUGAGGCUGUGGAGGAGUUCUACAAGUCGUAUGCACAUCAUGUGGGUUUUGGAGUUCGUGUCGGACAGCAGAAAAAGUUGAACAAAGAAGUGGUUCGGACAAAGCGUUUCAUGUGCAGCAGGGAAGGAUUUAGGACUGAGAAGAACAAGGAGAUUAAAGACCCAUCAAACCAAUCAAAGAAAAGCCGUAAGAAUACAACCACAUGA